CCUGAUAGCUCAGUCAGUAAAGAGUCUGCCUGCAAUGCAGGAGACCUGGGUUCGAUUCCUGGGUCAGGA
rnacentral:tRNA from 1 species